AACCUCCGCAAUGUGAGAAAUCGCGACGGGGGGAUCCCAAGUGCCAUUCUUAACGGGAUGGCUUUUCAUUAGUGUAAAGAGCUUUUGGAAUAAGAGCUGGGCAAGACCGGUGCCAGCCGCCGCGGUAACACCGGCAGCUCUAGUGGUAGCAAUUUUUAUUGGGCCUAAAGCGUCCGUAGCCGGUUUAAUAAGUCUCUGGUGAAAUCCUGUAGCUUAACUGUGGGAAUUGCUGGAGAUACUAUUAGACUUGAGACCGGGAGAGGUUAGAGGUACUCCCAGGGUAGAGGUGAAAUUCUGUAAUCCUGGGAGGACCGCCUGUUGCGAAGGCGUCUAACUGGAACGGUUCUGACGGUGAGGGACGAAAGUUAGGGGCGCGAACCGGAUUAGAUACCCGGGUAGUCCUAACUGUAAACGAUGCGGACUUGGUGUUGGGGUGGCUUUGAGCUGCUCCAGUGCCGAAGGGAAGCUGUUAAGUCCGCCGCCUGGGAAGUACGGUCGCAAGACUGAAACUUAAAGGAAGU
rnacentral:rRNA from 1 species